GUAUUGUAGAAAACUGUGGUUAUUAUAAGUACGGAACUGACUUACGGUAAAGUGAAGCCAUUAGUCCUGGGAAACUGUCGUCUGUUAGCGUCGCCUGGCGCGUGAAGUGUCCAAGGACCGAUCGACAGAAACAGGCCUGCCAGCUCCGAGUUCCCGCAGACGACAACAAAAGCACGCGCUUAAUGAACCUUUGGAAGAUGGCUCCGUUGGAGGAGUUGGACAUAGAAUGGACUGCUUCGUUUAGUCGCUGUUUCUGGAAACAAUAUUUGUAGAUCUGAUUGAAGUUACACGCUGUAUGUACAUCUGUGUUUGUUAGAAUUUCACACCAUGGAUAUCGCUAUAUUUGAAACAACUCUGACAAAACAUCUAAAUAAAUGUUGGAAAAUAAA